CUAGGAUUUAUUUGAAGCAAAAGUAUCUUCUUUCUUCAAAUCCUUGCUUGGCACUUGUAUUUUUGCCAAUCUAGCAACAUCUUUGGAAAGAAGUUCUUAAUUUAUCUAGUUGUUUUGUGUCACCAUUCAGUAUUUUGUACUCUUUGCAGUGUGAUUGUUGAAGCUUUGAAAAUGGACAGUCUGCAGAAAAUUUGCUCAUCAUUGGAGCCCAUUCUUCGAAGAGUUGUCAGUGAAGAAGUUGAACGAGCCUUAGCAAAGCUAAGUCCUCCAAAAAUUGGUGGAAGGUAAGACAUAUUAUGACAUCAUACAUCAUGAAUCAGAUGGAUUCUUUGAGAAUGAACUUAUUUUGGAUUUUUUUUCCUCUGCAUGGAAUUAUAAGUGACUAAGAUGUUAUAACCAAAUAGUUAUGUUGCCAUGCUUUCUGAUACAAUCUUUCCGGUAAAAUAUCUGAAAGCAUGUCAAGUUUCUUGUGAACUUGUUACAGGCUGCACAACUAGUGUUUAAAUUUAAUGAAAUGAAGGAUGGUUGAGACAGAUAACAGCUGUAUAUUAUGAUUUUUAAAUUGUUGUCCUAGAGUCUGAUUGCUAGAAUUUUAAUUUAUGGUCAUUCUGCUUAACAGAUUGUAGUCUAUUUUUCAGAAGCUACUAUAGACAUAUAUAGGCAUGAUGUUAUUUUCCUACCGAGAAUUUUAUGUAUCUUAUAUUAAAAGGAAAACAAAAUUAUUAACAUUUGCUUGGUUUAGCAAAAAAAGCUGCAAAAAGUCAUGCAAACACACUAUGAUUAUGAUUUUCAUACAAUCUUUAUGAUUAUACAAGCGGCACUGUUUCUUCAUCCCUUUGUGACCAAGUAAGCUGUCUUUUUAAUCUUGGACUUUUAGAUUUUGUUUCGUGUGCCACUGUCAGUAUCGGAUUGCUUUGGGGAGACUAUAGUAAAUGAAGAGUGCAUUACAUCACAAACAGCAAUAUGAAGCAAAAGUCUGCAAGGUAAUAAGUUAAAAGAAAACAGGAACAAACUUUUCUGUUACAGCAGAAAUAAUGGAGUAUGACGAAAGAAGAGAAACAUGAGGAGAACAAAGAGUAAGUUAUGACUGGGUUACCAAAUUUGUUUGAUGAAAAUGCAUUCUGUAAGAAUGAUCUUUGCUGCACAUCUUUCUGUUUUUCUAUGACAUUGAUAACUCACCUUCUAUGAACUUUCAAUUUUUUGGUCUCGAAGUUCUAUAUUCUGAAUGGACCCUAUUUAUUAGCAAUAUCUGAUGUUUCUUCUUGACAAUCUGAUGCUGUAUGGUGCUUCAUUAGGUCAGUGAAGAAGUUGAACGAGCCUUAGCAAAGCUAAGUCCUCCAAAAAUUGGUGGAAGGUAAGACAUAUUAUGACAUCAUACAUCAUGAAUCAGAUGGAUUCUUUGAGAAUGAACUUAUUUUGGAUUUUUUUUCCUCUGCAUGGAAUUAUAAGUGACUUAGAUGUUAUAACCAAAUAGUUAUGUUGCCAUGCUUUCUGAUACAAUCUUUCCGGUAAAAUAUCUGAAAGCAUGUCAAGUUUCUUGUGAACUUGUUACAGGCUGCACAACAAGUGUUUAAAUUUAAUGAAAUGAAGGAUGGUUGAGACAGAUAACAGCUGUAUAUUAUGAUUUUUAAAUUGUUGUCCUAGAGUCUGAUUGCUAGAAUUUUAAUUUAUGGCCAUUCUGAUUGUAGUCUAUUUUUCAGAAGCUACUAUAGACAUAUAUAGGCAUGAGUCUCAUGCCUAUAUGGAGGUUAGGGAGGGGCAACAUAUUUAACCUAAUUAUUGCAAUAGAGGCAAUAACAUUAAGUUGUUGACAGGCCUCAAUGAGAUAAAUGGUGCAAAUGUAUCUAUUGGGUUUUGAAAGGUAGUGUUCAAUAGUCUUUAACAGAAUUGUCUGAAAACCUAUCCUGAUGUUAUUUUCCUACCGAGAAUUUUAUGUAUCUUAUAUUAAAAGGAAAACAAAAUUAUUAACAUUUGCUUGGUUUAGCAAAAAAAGCUGCAAAAAGUCAUGCAAACACACUAUGAUUAUGAUUUUCAUACAAUCUUUAUGAUUAUACAAGCGGCACUGUUUCUUCAUCCCUUUGUGACCAAGUAAGCUGUCUUUUUAAUCUUGGACUUUUAGAUUUUGUUUUGUGUGCCACUGUCAGUAUCAGAUUGCUUUGGGGAGACUAUAGUAAAUGAAGAGUACAUUACAUCACAAACAGCAAUAUGAAGCAAAAGUCUGCAAGGUAAUAAGUUAUAAGAAAACAGGAACAAACUUUUCUGUUACAGCAGAAAUAAUGGAGUAUGACGAAAGAAGUGAAACAUGAGGAGAACAAAGAGUAAGUUAUGACUGGGUUACCAAAUUUGUUUGAUGAAAAUGCAUUCUGUAAGAAUGAUCUUUGCUGCACAUCUUUCUGUUUUAAGUCUAACCACAUACUGUUCCUAUAAAAGAUAGGAGUCCUUAGGGAUAAAAGUAGGUAAUAAAGGUAGUUGACCAAAUCGGAUAAAGAUCAUAAUCAGAAAGUACCCAAUCAAUUACAAAAAUUUCAUAAGUGGAAUACAACUAAAUAAGCUCAUGUCUAAUGAUAUCUAGCUUUGUGAAGAUGUUCUAAAGUUGUGAUAAUAUUGCCUUGUAAAUUGAGAAUAGGCCAAUUAAUCUAAUUAACUCAAACAAGAAUUAAUAGAACUCUGCACAAACCUAACUUUAAGACUUGCUUUAUCAUAUUCAAGCCAUUCAAUUUCAGUCCAUCUUGUUAGUCUUUGCUUGUUAGUUGUGAUGUUUCCCAGUAAUUGAUGUGCACAUCUAAGAAAGAUUAUUUCCUUCAGUUUGUUGCUUAUUGUUUGAAGAAAUAUUAGCUUCAUUUUUAUCUUCCGAUAGUAAAGAACUGAUUCAUCAUCUAGCCUAUAAGAAGUUCACCAAUUCAUCUUCUAGCCUAUGAGAAGUUCAUUGUCGCAGCAUCAUUUCUCUGAGGGGUAGAUUUGGUAAUUUUCCAGAUUUAAUAGUUUUAAGGGUAUUCUUGGAAUCAUCAAAUUUCAGAAUUGGUCCUGCAACUCAGCUCUUCCACUUGGACAUAUGAGUUAUCCUAUGCCUAAUAUGCAUCUUUGACUAUUUAUGCUUGUUUCGAUUCCUGGAUUAGGUGCUUUAUGAAUAAAGACUAGUAUUAUUGCUUGUUGUUUUGCUUCAAUCUUCUUGUUCUCCAAUUCAUCUGCAAAACUAGAAGUUGUAGUCCUUGAGGGUGAUUUUAGCAAUGAAGACAAUGAUGAUUGGACAGAAGAAGAGUUUGACAGUCAUGUAGUGAAAGAACGCGAAGGAAAAAGGCCUCUUUUGAUUGGAGACUUAUACGUCUCAUGGAAAGAAGGUAUAGGAACCCUUGGAGAGCUCACAUUUCCAGACAAUUCUAGUUGGAUACGGAGUAGGAAAUUUAGGCUUGGACUGAAGAUUGCUUCAGGUUUUUGUGAUGGUAUUCGAGUCCGUGAAGCGAAAACAGAAGCUUUCACUGAAAGGACCACAGAGGGGAAUUGGACAAGAAACACUAUCCACCUGAAUUGAAAGAUGAAGUCUGGAGAUUGGAAAAGAUUGGUAAGGAUGGUUCAUUCCACAAGAGGUUGAAUAAAUAUGGACUCUUUACAGUUGAAGACUUUCUCAGACUUGUUGUUAGGGAUCCCUAGAAACUCCGCAAGGUUCUUGGAACUGCUAUGCUGAUGAACACUAUCGCAACUGCUAUGCUGAUGAACACUAUCUUCUUGACCUUAACCAGGUUUUGAUAGUCGCAACUGCUAUGCUGAUGAACACUAUCUUCCAACUCUAUUGAAU